CACGUAGGGUGCGGACGUUGUCCGGAUUUAUUGGGCGUAAAGAGCUCGUAGGCGGCUUGGUAAGUCAGGUGUGAAACCCCCGGGCUCAACCCGGGGACGCCACCUGAUACUGCUAUGGCUUGAGUCCGGUAGGGGAGCGUGGAAUUCCUGGUGUAGCGGUGAAAUGCGCAGAUAUCAGGAGGAACACCAAUAGCGAAGGCAGCUCGCUGGGACGUUACUGACACUGAGGCGCGAAAGCGUGGGGAGCAAACAGG
rnacentral:rRNA from 1 species